AUGUGAUUUGAAGUUGUCCUUAUUAAUUAUCUCCCUAAUCUAGGCAAAUCCAUAGCGGAGACUACAUAGAUGGAAGUAUUGCCAAACUGCCCUCCGGUGGGAAACGUUCCUCUGUCUAUCAAGACAGACUCUCUCUGCAACACUGGCUACGUGGAAGAUUUGUUUUACUUUCGGCACAUCACGCAUCAUUGAAAGAGUCCAAAUGCCCAUCUUUUUAAACCAUUUCAAAAUUUUUCAUAGAUCCAGAAUCAACCAAUCAACAAUCAAGUACGUGAAGGAAAAAAUUCAACUUCCUGUGGGCAUCCUUAUAUUUUACUCCAUCAUCAAUUUCUCUGUUCCUGAUAAUCUCAAAGAGCUGAGAGAUUCCUUAUUUCGCUUAUAUCUUUA
rnacentral:lncRNA from 1 species